CUGAUCACAAAAAAUUCGAGGGUCACACUAAUGUGGCUUAGAGUAUGAAGUACUGAUGGGACUUUAAUUGCCUAACAGGGGCAAAAUUUGGCGGCUAUGGUUCAUUUUUACCAACUUAUCAACGGUCUCCUUCUUCGUCUCGUCCAAAGAGUUCACCCGAAGUUCAUAACUAUAGUGCGCCCAAAUUCCUAAACAAUCUGCAUUCGGAGGUAGAUAGUUUUAAAUUUGAAUCUAUACUUUUUCUGUUCAUGAUUCUCUACAGCACAAUGGAACAAGGACUUGUCUCCCCUGACAUGAAAAUUCUAGUUUACUUGAACACUCUGAGUUGUAUACGAUACAGGACAGUAGGGAAAACUCAUUCGCUUUGACAAGUGAUUCUCUAUCUUCAAGGCCUGGAGCAUCUUCAGGAAAGACUGCAGCCAUAUGCGAUCCUGUGAAAAGGGAUGUCUCCACCCUGUCCACACAUGCUGAAGAGGUCACUUCAAACAUCGGGCUUGUUAAGAUGUCUGGUAAUCCUUCUGAACAAAGAACUUUGAAGGUCCGAAUCAAAGUUGAUGCUGAAAAUUUGUCGACACGACAGAAUGCUGAAAUCUACAGUGGACUUGGUCUUGAUGUAUCUCCAUCAUCUUCAUUAGAUGAUAAUCCAGUAGUUAAUGAAGGUUUAUGUGGUAACAAUCAGGAUGUGCCAGACAAAUCUCCGACUAGUAUUCUUCAGGUGAAUAAUAGUCCCUCAUCAUUCAUCUCGACUUUCUGAUUCUUUCUCUCUUUCUUUUUUUCAUUUUUCUUUUAAUGGUAAAUCAACCUGAUAUUAUGAGGUUUAUUUUGACACUGUACUAUUACUGCAUCGGAACAGAUUAUGACAUCAUUUCCUGCCCACGGGAGCCUUCUUUUAUCCCCUCUAUCCGAUGAUCUGAUUCGUCUCUUUGAAAAAGGAAAGUUUAGGGGGAAGAUCCAAUCCAAACUCGUGCAUAAAGAAACCUUGGAAAGUUCUUUGAUGUUAAUUGGUGGGUCUCCAUCUAGUAGGAGAAAUCAGAAAGUUUUAAAGAAAUGGAUGUCAUCUGAAAGGGAUGACACAUUUUCUACACAAUUCAUAAGCGAGAAGAACAACGAUAGUCUGGUGAAGAAGGAAACUGAUAUUGACAUUUUAGGUUGUGAGGAACUUGUUUCUAAUGCUCUUAAACUCCCGCUUUUAUCAAGUUCACAGCAUGGUGAUGGUAUUCCCAUGAAUGGUACCUCUAGGGAAGUUGAUAUUUCUUCUAAAGAUGGGGUGACGGACAAAACCUGCUCUGGACCGAUAGAGAAGGAAAUUUUCAGGAGUUUGUUUGCUCAAGAUAUUGACAGGGUUGAGGAGUACGAUGAAGAUCUGCAUCCACUGGACAAGGUUUCGGAAAAUAAAAAUGCAAAUUUUGGGUUUGACAGUGCUGAUUUUCCACAGGAUGAUGCCCAAAAAGCAGAAAAAGUUCAAUUUGAGUCAAAUUUCUGUAAGGGGAUAAAGGCUUCUGAUGCUGAAGCGAAACAAUUGGAAGUUCAGAAAGAAGCAUACAGUAAUGAGGAAGGUGUGAAACUUACUCCUGGAAAGGAGCAUAUAUCUUCAGCAUCCAGGAAGAAAUCAAAAGAAGUUCAGAGUGUUUCAAAAGAUCAGUUAAUGCAUGAUUCUUCUUUGAUGCCUAAAAGUAGGAAGGGCUCUCUUGGUAACAAUCUUAUGUCUAAAAAUGAUUCACUUGAUUUCAAGAGGGACCAUGGAAAGCCUGGAGACAGAUAUAAGGACUUCUUUGGAGACCUAGAACUUGAAGAAGAAGAUAGUGAAUCGAUUUCAGGGGAAAUCCCUUCCUCGAGAAUUUUGAAGGACUCUCAGCUAAUUGAAAAGAGGAGCAUCAUUGAAUCUCACAAUGCAUCAAAGGAGAAAAGUGAUGUUAAAAGAAUAAAAAAGCCACCUUCCUAUUCUGAAAUGGCUUCGAGAAUGGCCCCUCAAACUGUAAGUGGGCCCACUUCUGAUGCUACCUCUGCAGGAGUGGAUCCUUUUGUCCAAGAAGAUUGGGUCCUGUGUGAUAGGUGUCAACGGUGGAGACUUCUUCCACUUGGUACAAAUCCUCAGAGUCUUCCUGAUAAAUGGCGUUGUAGGAUGCUCACCUGGCUGUAAGUUUUGUCAAUGUUAUAUUUAUAAACUAUUGGCUAGUAAAAAAGAACAACAAUUUAUCUCAAAUAUAUAUGGAAUAAGGCUUAUUUUGUUUCUGUAACAAGAAACGUGCUGCUCCAAAAGACAUUCUGCAUGCGCAUGCAUGUGCUUAGAGUACUCGACUCUUGAUAAUUUGAACAUUUCUCUAGGCCUGGAAUGAACCACUGUAGUAUCCCUGAGGACCAGACUACAAAGGCUUUACGUGCCCUCUACCAUCUUGCUCCUACUUCAGGUCCUGCCCCUGCUUCUGAGAGCCAACACAAUCCCCUUAAUUAUCCUGCUAGGACUUUGUUGGGAGUAUCAUCAGCUGAUGCUAAGUGUCUCGGUGAUGAACGACAAAAUAUUUGUUCUCAAGAUAGAGUCAAUGGGAAGAAAAAACACGGGUCAAUAGAUGUGAAAAAUUCAAAUGACUUAGAUGAUCCCACUCACGUUUCAGACUCGCAGAAAAAGGACGUUAAGGUACCAGGCAAAACUGGAGCGAACUACUCUCCUUCUGUUGAUGCAUAUCAGCAUUUGCGCCACUCUAGUAGUGUAGUUGUAGAGAAGCACAAGGAUGAUAAGAAAGAGAAAAAGUCAUCACUAGAG
rnacentral:lncRNA from 1 species